CCUUACUCCUACCUUAUAGGGGCACGGGAGCCGUAAAAAAGGAGGAGACCUAACCCGCCGGGCCGGCGGUGCGGCAGUGUGGAGACCUGUCGUAACGUCCGCGGAGCUAUGCGCUCUGCGGGCGAGGGGGUACUUGCGGAGGCAUUGCCCCUACGGCCUGUGUACAUGGCA
rnacentral:ncRNA from 1 species